GAUGAACGCUGGCGGCGUGCCUAAUACAUGCAAGUCGAGCGAACGGACGAGAAGCUUGCUUCUCUGAUGUUAGCGGCGGACGGGUGAGUAACACGUGGAUAGCCUACCUAUAAGACUGGGAUAACUUCGGGAAACCGGAGCUAAUACCGGAUGAUAUUUUGAACCGCAUGGUUCAAAAGUGAAAGACGGUCUUGCUGUCACUUAUAGAUGGAUCCGCGCUGCAUUAGCUAGUUGGUAAGGUAACGGCUUACCAAGGCAACGAUGCAUAGCCGACCUGAGAGGGUGAUCGGCCACACUGGAACUGAGACACGGUCCAGACUCCUACGGGAGGCAGCAGUAGGGAAUCUUCCGCAAAGGGCGAAAGCCUGACGGAGCAACGCCGCGUGAGUGAUGAAGGUCUUCGGAUCGUAAAACUCUGUUAUUAGGGAAGAACAUAUGUGUAAGUAACUGUGCACAUCUUGACGGUACCUAAUCAGAAAGCCACGGCUAACUACGUG
rnacentral:rRNA from 1 species